CCUUGAGCAUGUUCCCAGACAUGAAUGCUGUAGCUGAUUCACUCACAGUCCUACAUGGAAAUACUGUGUUCCAUCUGUCUUUUUAUGUUACAGAACUCACCCUCCCAAGGACCUUGUUCUUCAAUGUCUCACCUCUUACACACUUCCAGGUUUGCAACCACCACCCCAAGCUUUAUGAAGAGCAUUUCCUCUUUUUGUGGUAUGAUUAUGGAUUAUUCCUCUAUCCAGGGGAUGCUACAGCUGCCAUUAAGGGGAUGAACAUCCUUACGAAGAUUUUAACACCUUUGGAAACAGCAGAAUCUUACAUUAAAGAUGUGCACAGGAGCUACAGGACAAGAGCACAGUGGGACACAGCAGGGAGUCAACAUCCACAUACACGAAGGGUGAGACGGCUCCAGUUCCCUCGAGGUGAGGUUCUAUGGCACACAGUGGCCUCCGUGGCCAUGCUGCAGCUAACCAGGCUGUCCCUGCCUCACACACACACCGAAUACUUGUUCACCAAGACAGACAUUUACUGUGUGUCACCAGGGCCCCUUGCCCCUGCGUGCAGGAGGAACUGGUACCUGCAGUACCGGCAGCCACCAGCAAAGUGACUGCUGGUGCAAAGGGUGAAAGCAUUUUGUAUCUCUGGGAAAGGAACUGGGCCACGUCCACUGAGGAAACUCUUCAUGCACCCUAAUGUGAAUACUUCAGCUGGUCUCUGGAGCUGUGAGUCUGCCUCAGCUUUGGCAUGACCAAAGGACAUACCUUGAGCAGCUCCCAACUAACCUGCUGCUCCUGGACUGGCUGUUCUGUCCACCCCAGCCUCUACAUGUGUCUCACCAGCAAACCUGGGGUAUUAUUAUCCAGCAUAAAAAAUACUUGAUAUUAAUGCAUUAUUUAAUUAAUUAAAUUAAUUAAUAUUUGAUAUUAAUAUGAUAUUAAUUAAAUGAGCAAUUGAGGAAUUCCUCAAAAUUUCAAAAAUUCCUCAAAAUUCCCCCUCAAAAAAAGAAUUGAGGAAUGUAUUAUUUAAU
rnacentral:lncRNA from 14 species